rnacentral:lncRNA from 1 species
GGAUGGACUAGACAGGAGAUGACUGAAGAUAGAGAAACAAGGAAACCAUUAAAGUUCUGCAAAAACAACGUGAUGAGAGCCUGGAUUAGAGUUAUCUGUAAUAACCCCAGGAAGGAGCUCCUUUUCAAAAAGCAGUCCCUCAGUGAGCUCAUCUGCUCUCAGGAAUUCAUCCAUUGCUGCUGUGCGGAUGCUUCAAAGUCUAACCACAUGAACCAUCAGUUACCAGCCAUCUACUACCUGAUGAAAGGGAGCAAAAGCGAACACAGGGCCCUCAUCUUGAAAAAUGCACCAACUUCCAG